AACAAAAUAUAUAACAUAGGUCUAGUUGUUUUUAGACAUUUUAAUGUGGAAUAAUUACAUAUUAUACCUUUAAGAAAGUAACUUAAACUCACACCAUGUUCAAGUGAUCAUUUUAACUCAAACCAUGACCUUUCCCUAAUCCUUAACGAGUGGUUUUUGUGCCUAAACCUAAGCAGACCUUAACCACAGCGUUGUCACACCAUAAAACAUCAUUAUUUUUUACGAUUACUGCCAAUAGAGGUGGCAAGAAAAGGCUCCUAUGGGCCAUUAUGGAAACAUUCCUUUGAGUCGUUCUGGAGUGCAGGUACAAGACGGCUACCUAUAUGUGGUUGUUUCAUUAUGAGGAUGUGUUGCAUUAUUUCACCUACAUUUACCCACCAAUGGCUGGCUGGCACAUUUGGAGAAAUGCAUUAAAAGAACAAUAAGAACACCACACACACACUCACGCAUACCACCCAACCCCCUCCUUCGCUGCCAUAGAAACUAUUAGUGGAAACACUGUGGGGACACAUAGAUAAAGCCUCUCAUUGCCAGAGUACUGAUCUGUAAUCACUGCUGUCUUUUAACAGGGAAAAAGACAAACUGGGCCCGGAGGACUGGUUUAUUGAUCCUGAAGAGGGCAAGAGAGAGCUAGGCAGCGGGCGAGGGUGAGAGAGAGCAAGACACGUAGCCUGGCAGUGAGAGGAAGCAGCCCGUCUCUCGCUGACAGGACGCCACUCAGCCUGGGACACACAGCUCAAUUUAAAGACCGCUGCUGCUGCUGCUUCUGUCCGUCAUCCUCCCAAUCUACACAGAGAUGAGAACAUCCUGUUCAGCCAUCUGCUGUAGGAGUUUACCCUUUUUUUCAUGCAAGACUCAGCCUUGUCUGCCAACUGAGCACCUUGCCAUUGGACCCGUGAAUAGACUGAAGUGCAGACUGGAGAGGGAUCAUUUAAUUUAGAGAUUUGCCAGCCUGCCUCUUCAUUACCAUCCACCUUCUCCUCCCGGUGAGGUCCAAACUGUCUAGACAGUGUGCACAUGAUUCCAGCCCUGAGCACUUGGAUGUCUUUCCUAUUUUCUAACAAAGUGGUCGGUCUCACAAUCGGGGCUAAUGACCAUUUCAGAAUGUGUAGUUUCAAAUCUGUACCAUAUAGACAUAUAGCUUGUGCUUUACUCUCUUCUCUGGUUCAUUUCUGUUUGAAUUGUAGAAUGAGGAGUUACUGAAUUGGAAUAAUGAUAGCUUUAGUGCACAUAUUCUCAUUUGUGCUGAUCCUCUUUGCCCACAAUGGUGCAUCUCAAUUACAAACAGCUCUCAAAAGUGUAUUUUCCUUUCCAGAAGAUUAAACAUUUUUCCACCUCUGUGAUAAUUGCCCUUCCAGUUUGGCAUAUCAGCAAGUAGUGGCUCUCCACCCCUGACCAUUUGCCACUUACUUAGGUCCACUGAGGUGUUUCAGUCCAAUACAGAUCUAUGUCCGAGAGCUGACUCCAUUUACUCUUAAUAAUGCAUAAUAUGCUGCUUAUUUUGUUUUGAUUGAUUCUUGAAAAUCAUUCCACUGCCUGCCUUCUAUAAUUAUCAUCCUCCCGUUUCUCAUAUUCCUCCUCCCCAUUCC